rnacentral:tRNA from 1 species
GGGGGUGUAGCUCAGUUGGUUAGAGCGCCUGCCUGUCACGCAGGAGGUCGACGGUUCGAGCCCGUUCACUCCCG